rnacentral:rRNA from 1 species
AGGGCACCACCAGGAGUGGAGCCUGCGGCUUAAUUUGACUCAACACGGGAAAUCUCACCAGGCCCGGACACCGGAAGGAUUGACAGAUUGAAAGCUCUUUCUUGAUUCGGUGGGUGGUGGUGCAUGGCCGUUCUUAGUUGGUGGAGCGAUUUGUCUGGUUAAUUCCGAUAACGAACGAGACUCUGGCCUACUAAAUAGACAUUGGAUCAUUUAUGGUUCAUUGCAGCUUCUUAGAGGGACGGGCGGCUUAUAGCCGCACGAGAAUGAGCAAUAACAGGUCUGUGAUGCCCUUAGAUGUUCUGGGCUGCACGCGCGCUACACUGAAGGAAUCAGCGUGUGUACCCUGUCCGAAAGGACUGGGAAACCCGUUGAACCUCCUUCGUGAUGGGGAUUGGGGAUUGCAAUUAUUCCCCAUGAACGAGGAAUUCCCAGUAGGCGCGAGUCAUAAGCUUGCGUCGAUUACGUCCCUGCCCUUUGUACACACCGCCCGUCGCUACUACCGAUCGAGUGUUUUAGUGA